AAUGAAGUGCCUGAUUAAAGGAUUAUCUUGAUAGGAUAAAUUAAGUAAAUUAUUACCUUCAUUA
rnacentral:tRNA from 1 species